AUUUUAGUCCCUCCCUAAUAAAAUUUAGAUGGCUUACUUCUGUCCUCGUAGGGCCUGGCUGUCAUCUUGUCUAAUGGGAAGCACUUCCUUCACAACUUCACUUUCAAGAUGAUGCUCAGACUCUCUGCUCUGGUGACAGUGCUCUGUCUACCCUGUUUAAAUGGUCAGGCUUUGGAGUCCAUUCCCUCCACGUCAGUGUUGAAAAAGCCUCAGGAAGCCUUCAGUCUUUCCUGUAGAGGGUCUGGUUUUGACUUUGGCCAGUAUGGAAUGCACUGGAUCAGACAACCAGCAGGAAAGACACUAGAAUGGAUGGGAGCAAUCUGGUAUGAUGCAAGUAAAACCAUUUAUGCCAGCAGUGUGCAAGGACGUAUAGAAAUCACCAGAGACAACAGCAACAGCAUGGUGCAUCUGAGCCUUUCCAGCCUAAAGCCAGAGGACUCUGCUGUGUAUUACUGUGCUAGAAAGCCACAGUAACACAACCCUUCACUAGAACUGAACAAAAACCCCUCACUGAACAGUUCUAACAUGAAACCACCAGAGGAGGAGCUCUCGGACCACUGAUGAUUUCAGAUCAGCAUAAUAAGUCAAUACAUAAGAUUGAAAUAUAAUCUCGAAACAAAGGUGAUUAUUAAUUCCAGUUCUCAUAAACAUUAUUUCUCACAGACGAAGGUUACUUUUCUUAAUCCCUCUUCUUUUCUUCAACAACCAAAAACAUAUUCUGGUAUACAUAACCCUCAAAGUAAACCACAUUGCUGUAUGUUUCUUCGAAAGCAUAAAAAAUAUGAAAGUGUUGCAUAGUUUAGUAGUUACAAGUUCAUGAGUCCAUGUUUACAAACAAAGCAAAAGAAUGCAAUUUAAUGCUUUUUUUGAUUUAAAAAAAAGCAAAUGAAAAAUAUUUCAGUCAGCUAUUUUAGAGGCCCAAGGACUUUGCAACCUGGUCUUCUAUUGUGUGCCUUUCUCUUGUUCUGUCUAUAUUCCUGCUGUUUGUAUAUAUCUCUCAUGUUUUUUUUAUUUAUUUCUGCUAUCUUACUAUUUAUAUUUUAUACCUG